AAUAAGGACAAAAUUAAGGAUGCCUAGUUUUUACCAUUUUAAGAAGGAUAGAAAGGAAGAUCCAGGGAACUACAGUGAGCCUCACCCUUGUGCCUGGAAAAACCGUAGAACAGAUCCUCCUGGAAGCUAUGCUAACACAUGGACAAGGCAGGGAAGUGAUCCAAGACAGUCAGCAUGGCUUCACCAAGGGCACAUCACAUCCAUAAUCUGGUGGCCUUCUACAAUGGAGUGACUGCAUCAGUUGACAAAGGAAGAGCAACUGAUAUUGCCUACCAGGAAUUCUGUAAGGCCUUUGAUACGAUCUCACAAUACACCUCGAAAUUGGAGAGAGAUAGAUUUGAAGGGCAGGCCAUUCAGUGGACAAGGAAUUGGUUGGAUGGUCACAACCAGAGAGUUAUGGUCAAUGGCUCUAAGUCCUGGUGGAGGCCAGUAAUGAGUGGUGUCCCUCAGAGUUUUCCUCAGGACUGGCGCUCUUCAACAUCUUUGUCAGUGACAGUCAUUAGAAUUGAAAAUACCCUCAUCGGAUUUGCUGAUGACACCAAGCUGAAUGGUGCAGUUGGCAUACUGGAAGGAAAGGAUACGAUCCAAAGGGAGCUGGACAGCAUCAAAAUGCAUGGACACAAGAACCUGACAAGGUUCAACAAGACUUCACGCAAGUUGUACUUCUGUCAGGACAGUCCCAGAUAUGAGAACAGACUGCGAGAAGAAGACAUCAAGAACGAUCCUGGGGAAAAAUACAUGAGGGUCUUGGUGGAUGAAAAACUGGAUGUGAGCCAGCAGUGGUGUGCACUUGCAGCCUGGAAGGCCAACAGUUUCCUGGGCUGCAUCAAAAGUGGGGUGGUCAGCAGGGAGGAGGAGGAGGUGAUUAUUCCCUUCUACUCUGCCCUCAUGAGGCCCCAUCUGGAAUACUGCCCCCAGGCCUAGGGCCCCCAGCACAACAAAGAGAUGGAGCUACUAUAGUGAGUACAGAGGAGGGCCAUGAAGAUUAUCAGAGAGCUGGAGCACCCGAUCAUGGGGACAAGCUGAGGGAGAUCAACAUUUUAUGUGAUUGGAUGACAAUUAGAUAAGGGAGAAUAAUUUUAAACUGAAAGAGAGGAUAUUUAAAUUAGAUAUUAAAAGGAAAAUUAUCAUUCAGAAGGUGGUGAGGCGCUGGCACAGCUGCCCAGAGAAGCUGUGGGUGCCCCAUCCCUGGAGGCAUUCAAGGCCAGGUUGGAUGAGGUCCUGAGCUGCCUGAGCUGGUGGGUGGCAACCCUGCCUGUGGCAGGGGGACAGAACUGACUGAUCUUUAAGGUCCCUUCUAUCACAAGUACUUCUAGAUUCUGUGUCAUCAGUUAUACAUCCUCUUGCAGCAGAGGACCAUGCUAAAGCAGGACGGGAUUUCCCAAUAGCCACAGUAGCAUUUAUUUGCUCAGAUAUUCCCUCACCAGGCAUGUUUCUUCAUCAUAUGCUGCCAGAGGCGUAACUGGUUGCGGUUGGCCCCUUCAGCUUCUCACAUUGAGCAAUGUGCUAAGUUUGUUAUCGUAUCUUCCAUGCCUUUUCAGGCUAACAGACGUGAAUGUUUGAGCUGUGUCAACAACACACAUUGUUGGACCUUGAAGGAAAUUAAGAUUCUGAAAUUGUUGUGGAAAGCCAUUUUUGCCUUUUAAUUAGUAAUCCAACCAACCAUUUGAUAGAGAGCAAAAAAGAUCACAGAGAGGUGAAGGCAAGGUGUGACUGGACAUGCCUUCCUAGGGUGCUAUUAGUAGCACUCAUAUGCAUUAAUAAAGCAGUGGCUGAAACACCUGGGAUGAGACGAGUGUAGCUGUUGGGUUGCUUUUUUUCUCCAAAGUGUUUGUAAUAAUCCAGUUUGCUUCCCAUUGCUCCUUGAAGGCUAGCUUUGAUCCUAGUAAGCAGCAAGGCUUUCUAUAUGAGUUUGAGAGGAUUAGGAAUAUGUUUUCAGACUGAUAUUUUUGUUUAUAUUGCUGAAUUAUGAAUUCUUCAUUAAAUAGCCAUUAAAUC
ensembl:lncRNA